rnacentral:tmRNA from 15 species
GCACCCUGCCAAUCGGGCGGCGCGGAGUUAACUUAAUAGAUUUGGCUACGCAUGUAGUACCGACAGUGGAGAGCUGGCGGACGGGGGUUCAAAUCCCCCGGCUCCACCA